rnacentral:rRNA from 1 species
UAACAGUUGGAAACGACUGUUAAUACCGCAUAAGCGCACAGGAUUGCAUGAUCCGGUGUGAAAAACUCCGGUGGUAUGAGAUGGACCCGCGUCUGAUUAGCCAGUUGGCAGGGUAACGGCCUACCAAAGCGACGAUCAGUAGCCGACCUGAGAGGGUGACCGGCCACAUUGGGACUGAGACACGGCCCAAACUCCUACGGGAGGCAGCAGUGGGGAAUAUUGCACAAUGGGGGAAACCCUGAUGCAGCGACGCCGCGUGAGCGAAGAAGUAUUUCGGUAUGUAAAGCUCUAUCAGCAGGGAAGAAGAAUGACGGUACCUGACUAAGAAGCACCGGCUAAAUACGUGCCAGCAGCCGCGGUAAUACGUAUGGUGCAAGCGUUAUCCGGAUUUACUGGGUGUAAAGGGAGCGCAGGCGGUGCGGCAAGUCUGAUGUGAAAGCCCGGGGCUCAACCCCGGUACUGCAUUGGAAACUGUCGUACUAGAGUGUCGGAGGGGUAAGUGGAAUUCCUAGUGUAGCGGUGAAAUGCGUAGAUAUUAGGAGGAACACCAGUGGCGAAGGCGGCUUACUGGACGAUAACUGACGCUGAGGCUCGAAAGCGUGGGGAGCAAACAGGAUUAGAUACCCUGGUAGUCCACGCCGU